AACGUAGGUUCCGAGCGUUAUCCGGAUUUACUGGGCGUAAAGACGCGUUCAGGCGGUUCGGCAAGUCGGGCAUGAAAUCUCUCGGCUCAACCGGGAGAGGUUGUCCGAUACUGCUGGACUUGAGGGCAGUAUGAGGGUGGUGGAAUUCCGGGUGUAGUGGUGAAUGACGUAGAUAUCCGGAGGAACACCAGUGGCGAAAGCGGCCACCUGGACUGUACCUGACGCUCAAACGCGAAAGCUAGGGGAGCGAACGGG
rnacentral:rRNA from 1 species